GACGAACGCUGGCGGCGUGCUUAACACAUGCAAGUCGAGCGGUAAGGCCCUUUCGGGGGUACACGAGCGGCGAACGGGUGAGUAACACGUGGGUGACCUGCCCUUAGCUCUGGGAUAAGCCUGGGAAACUGGGUCUAAUACCGGAUAUGACUCCAUGACGCAUGUUGUGGGGUGGAAAGCCUUGUGCGGCUGAGGAUGGGCCCGCGGCCUAUCAGCUUGUUGGUGGGGUGAUGGCCACCAAGGCGACGACGGGUAGCCGGCCUGAGAGGGCGACCGGCCGCACUGGGACUGAGACACGGCCCAGACUCCUACGGGAGGCAGCAGUGGGGAAUCUUGCGCAAUGGGCGAAAGCCUGACGCAGCGACGCCGCGUGAGGGAUGACGGCCU
rnacentral:rRNA from 1 species